ACUGACGUGAUAACCAACUACACCACGACACCAGACGUUUAAACGAAUCUAUGAAAAGUAUAUGAUCACAGUUAAGGAAAUUCAUAUAAUUUGAUAAACCACCUUGCAAAACUGCCUCUUCAGUAGGAAAAUCGUUCAUCAGAGCGGAGCAGAGAUGAUUGAUUCUCCGUCCCUUCACUGCCCUUUCAGCACGAUUUGGCCGUCACUGCAUCACAGUUGGCAUUACAAUUCUCCCAAAUCGACAAAAUUCCGGCCACCCCAUUUCAGUUUGUCUCUUGUCCAUGGCUCAGGACCAAUGGGGUUUCCUGUUUUUGCCAUGAAGAGGUCUGGGAAAGGCGGCAUUGCCCUCACUGAACAGAGUGAUUCCGACAUUGAGUUCGAUGAAUUUUUUGAUGAGGAUGAAGAUGAUUUUCAGGACGAGGAUGAAGAUGAAAUUCUUUUGCCGUUGAAGAACACGAGAGAGUGGCAUGCGGCGAGGCCUCGUGGAUUUGGAGAAGGGAAUGAGUAUGAUACAUCGAUUGAAGACAAAUUGUUGCAAGAAAUGAAGCAGAGUAGGGAAGCUCAGACUGCAAAUAUCAAUAAGCUCUAGAAUCAGUCUUCUUCUGAGUCCAAAACUAGUAGAAAUGCCAUAGAGAAAGUAGCUCCAGAGAUUGUUAGUACUGGAGUUCGUGUACGCAUUGUCAACCUUCCUAAAAAAAAAGAACAUUCACAGAGACCUGAUCGUGGCUUUUAAAGGCUUUCCUGGAAUCAUCAAUAUAACUCCUGCAGUCAUUGGAAACAAAAAGACUAGGGAACCAAUCUGCAAGGGUUUUGCAUUUGUUGAUUGCAAUUCUGAAGGAGAUGCCUUAAGUUUUCUACCAGCAUUUUCUGGACGAUAUCUUACGUUUGGGAGGGUUCAGAAGCAAAUAAAAUGUGAAAUAAUGAAUCGAAAAACUUCGAGUUCAACUUGCAAAAGUUCAGUGGAUAGUAUCUAUCAUUUUCAACUAAAUAUUCUUGAAGAGGAAGCAGAACAGUUUGCUGACAUGGACGUGGAUUUAGCGGUGAAUUCAUGAGAACAAGGAUCGAGGAUAUUGAAGACAGUUUGGCAAAUGUCAGUGAAUUACAUUCGGACGAUGAUGAUAAUGAUGUCUAAUCAAGAACAGAGUCCAAAAUUCGGUCACCAUCCCAAAAGGACUGGUGAUACUUAAAUUCUUGGGAAUUAAGGUUUUGUAUAGAAAGUAAUUUGUAGUUAAGUAACAGUGGAGAGUUUUUUUCAAGUUCAUUGGCCGAGUUGUGUAAGUGUUGGGAUAAUGGGUGCCUUUUGACUUUGGGUCCAUUUGGGAUUUUGGGAGGAUUAAAAAUAGUUUUAGGAUAAUGUUAACUGUUUUAUACGUUUGGUAAAACAUGGAAGGGCUUUUUGCAUAGCUCUAAACAAAUAGGUGUAAUUACCAAAAUGUCUAAAGUUUCCUACUUUUGUA